rnacentral:lncRNA from 1 species
GACUUUUCAGGAGCAAAUCCUUUUAUGCCUUUGUUCAGCCUUUCAGUGAUGAAAAUGCAAUAGAUACCAGUAAGACUGGAUGUUUAGAGUGCUGGAAUGCUGUGUUAGUGCUGGGCACUAAUGAUAACUCUGCUCUGGUUCCUUGGGACUUGGGAAAUCAUUUGGAGGCCAGUUGAGUAAGGGGGACAGAACCUUCAAAGUUUUUGGACAGACAUUCAGUAUGACUCAUCUGGGAGGAAUUUAAAGUGGGAAGCUGGAGGAGAGAGAAAGCAAGAGACUGUGUUGAGGUGGCAGCUUUUGCUGGACUCACCUUUUUCAAGCAAUUCUUCAUCCGUGGCUGUGUAUUUUGGACAGUAGGGUUGGAUACCGAAGUGUAACUUGCUGCUGGCAACCAUCCCUGAGGCUUUGGCCUUUGUUGAAGGUCACAGUGAAAUUGGUUUGCUGUUGCAGAAGAUUAAUAUUGCUUAAAAAUGGCUUGCAGAACAUUCAUCGGAAGAUUUCAAAAUCUUCACAGAAGUGGGCUUGCCACAUGUUUUCCCCUCUCCCCUCUCCACUAAAAAGGAGGGCAGAGAUGAAGUUCACUGGAUUGCCCACAUUUCUGCAGUCAGCCAGCAGGAAAACCAGCAAGAUCAUUUAG